GGUUAGUCGUAGUUCAGCAUUAGCAUAUAGUAUUAGCAUAUCCUAAUCUUUAGCAUAGCUUUUAGUGUUAUACAUACUUAUUUAGUGUUAGCUUGGCUGUUGGAUAUUGUAGUUUAGUUAGUGUUUGGCUGUUAGUGUAAUUAGGAAAAUAGUUCAGGUUUAGUGCUCCAUAUCAUGUUAGCAUGGUGAGAUGGUAUAGUGUAGUGUGGUUGCCGUGGCUCUGUGGGGUUGCACUCCUUUCCACUGGACUUAGAAAUUAGGCGCCAAUGGUUGCGCGCAAUCGGUGUCUGGAAAACAUUCAGCUCCCGCCUGGUGCUGUAGUUUGCAACCAGCAUUUUACCCGCAAUUCUGCACGUCUCCAUUUGAAGAGGGAGGCUGUGCCCACCGUGGCUCUUCCGCAAUUUAGAUGCAGCCCACUGACUCUGCUCCCCCACCAUGGCCGGCUCCAGUCUGAGGUGAGUAAGCUAAAUAAAAGUUUUAACAUCUUCUACAGACAAUUCUCUACCUAAAUGCAAAGUUUGAGAGACGUGGUUCACUUCCUUUAGCUAAUAUCAGCCUGCAUUGCCUUUGGGCUGAGUUGUAAAGUUCACAAAAUGUGGAACGGGAUGUAAGGUUAGAAUCAGUGGCAAAUCGGAACAUAUCUCGCAGCCCUGGCCGACAAAACAGUCCACAUGACUAUUACUGUCAGGCUCGGAGAAAAUUUGGGUUGCUUUUGUGUCAGUCAGUAAUUCUGCAACAGUGACUCUAACUAACGCAGCACUAGCUGACAGACAGCAUUACAGCGUGAAAUCCAGCUUGUGACCCGGUUCCGUGAGGAAUUCUGUUCAGGAGGUCGCAUUUCAGGCUCUUCACAUCAUGUGACUGACUUUUACGUUAGGAUAACGAUCACACACUAGGAAUGUUAUAAAGCGCCUAUAUAGGACAGUUUCUUUUGUAUAUUAUCUGACUUUAUAAACAACAACAAUGUGCUUCUAUUUUUUUUUUCAGGCUAAAUCUGCCCAAGACAUUGGCUGUCAGACUGAUUUUGUAGUCUGCAAGAAUGCAUUUGUCCAGGCUGACGUGAAGCCUUACCCAUAGCAAAGUUGAAUUAUUUUUAAUAAUCUUCUAUGUAAACAUUUUAUUAUUACCUUCUAGUUUUAAUUUGUUUUACAGAUUAUUGUUACACGUGAUUUUAUGCUCUUUUAAACAUUUAUAAAUGUGCUGGUUCUUUGUUUUUUACAUAGCCACCCAGAAUAAAGCUCACAGCCGCAGUGUGUCUUGUGACACAUGGACCAUGAUGGAAAUUCAUCUUCCAGAAAGUCCCAGAGCAGCGUCCACACCCCUGAAAAGACCAAGAUGUGAGGUGUCUGCUGUUGAUUUCAGCUUCCACCUCAGUGACAGUGCAAGCUCAGUGAACUGUUCAAGGUAAAAAAAAAUUAAAACAUUUCAGAAUUUUUAAGAUAUUAACAAUUAAAUAAGUAUGUGAUUACAUCAUGACAUCAUGAAGGAGGCUACUGAUUCUGGCCCUGUGACACUUGGUGGUGACGUGUGAGCUGAUUCACCUGGACACUCAGCAAAAUAUGGACUACACCAUGAGGCAGGCACACGUUAAUACUCUAUAAGAGCACAUAAGCCUGGCUGAUCACCUGAUAACUCAUGUCAUCUGGUUAUGACAGCAUGAGGAUGUCCUCACACACCUGUAACCUAUCAGCUCAUCUGGUGGAAUAGAGAGAGAGACAACACCACAUCUCCUGUUCCUGGAAAGCCUUCAGCCAUCCUUCGAUGACUGAGAACCUCCAUCAUCUCUGUCUCCUGUCUGCCUACAAUUAUUAUAAUAAAUAUUGUGUUUGACAAGUUUUUUGUGCUGCCAAAUAUCUCAUUUUGAUUCCAGUUUUGAUAUUUUAAUGGAUAUUUAUAAAUUACAUUAAUUGAAUUAUCACAUUGUUGCAUGUUUAACUAGCUCUAUUGUGAUUAAUUAAAC